rnacentral:rRNA from 1 species
AGUGAACGCUGGCGGUAGGCCUAACACAUGUAAGUCGAACGGCAGCACAGUAAGAGCUUGCUCUUACGGGUGGCGAGUGGCGGACGGGUGAGGAAUACAUCGGAAUCUACUUUUUCGUGGGGGAUAACGUAGGGAAACUUACGCUAAUACCGCAUACGACCUACGGGUGAAAGCAGGGGAUCUUCGGACCUUGCGCGAUUGAAUGAGCCGAUGUCGGAUUAGCUAGUUGGCGGGGUAAAGGCCCACCAAGGCGACGAUCCAUAGCUGGUCUGAGAGGAUGAUCAGCCACACUGGAACUGAGACACGGUCCAGACUCCUACGGGAGGCAGCAGUGGGGAAUAUUGGACAAUGGGCGCAAGCCUGAUCCAGCCAUACCGCGUGGGUGAAGAAGGCCUUCGGGUUGUAAAGCCCUUUUGUUGGGAAAGAAAAGCAGCAGGUUAAUACCCCGCUGUUCUGACGGUACCCAAAGAAUAAGCACCGGCUAACUUCGUG